GUAGGUGGCAAGCGUUGUCCGGAAUUAUUGGGCGUAAAGCGCGCGCAGGCGGUCCUUUAAGUCUGAUGUGAAAGCCCACGGGCUCAACCGUGGAGGGUCAUUGGAAACUGGGGGACUUGAGUACAGAAGAGGAAAGCGGAAUUCCAAGUGUAGCGGUGAAAUGCGUAGAGAUUUGGAGGAACACCAGUGGCGAAGGCGGCUUUCUGGUCUGUAACUGACGCUGAGGCGCGAAAGCGUGGGGAGCAAACAGGAUUAGAUACCCUGGUAGUCCACGCCGUAAACGAUGAGUGCUGAGUGUUAGGGGGUUUCCGCCCCUUAGUGCUGCAGCUAACGCAUUAAGCACUCCGCCUGGGGAGUACGGCCGCAAAGGCUG
rnacentral:rRNA from 1 species